GACGAACGCUGGCGGCGUGCCUAACACAUGCAAGUCGAACGGAGCUUAUUAAUUAGAUCCCUUCGGGGUGACGAUUUUUAAGCUUAGUGGCGGACGGGUGAGUAACGCGUGAGUAACCUGCCUUACAGAGGGGGGACAACAGUUGGAAACGACUGCUAAUACCGCAUAACAUAUUUUGAGGGCAUCCUCGAGAUAUCAAAGGAGCAAUCCGCUGUAAGAUGGACUCGCGUCCAAUUAGAUAGUUGGUGGGGUAACGGCCCACCAAGUCGACGAUUGGUAGCCGGACUGAGAGGUUGAACGGCCACAUUGGGACUGAGACACGGCCCAGACUCCUACGGGAGGCAGCAGUGGGGGAUAGUUGCACAAUGGAGGAAACUCUGAUGCAGCAACGCCGCGUGAGGGAAGAAGGUUUUCGGAUUGUAAACCUCUGUUUUUAGUGAAGAAACAAAUGACGGUAGCUAAAGAGGAAGCCGACGGCUAACUACGUG
rnacentral:rRNA from 1 species